GAACUAUAAAAGCCAGAGGACCGAAGCACAAGAAUUAGUCUUCACUGAAAGAGGAAGACUCUCCCUUCCUUAAGGCUUCCAGGAGCUUUACUAAGCCCAUCAUGGGGAAUACCAAGCUCUGCCUUUUGCUGUUGCUGGGCACUUAUACACUAGCCCAGCAAGAUGUGGGAAGUGUUGAGGAACAAUCUCCUGUUUGCCUUUUGGCCAAAAGAUUCAAGAACUUCAGGCGGUUUGUGUACGACUACGAAGCUGAGACCCUUAACAGUGUGACUGGAGCAAUGGACAACAAGAGCGGCCCCAAAGUCUCCUGCAAAGUUGAGGUUGAUGUGCCCCAGACCUGUAGUUUCAUCCUCCGCACAACAGAGUGCUCUCUGAGCGAGAUUUCUGGUGUGGAUGCAGAAGGGAACCAAGUGUACCGUCCUGCUGAUGGAGCUGAGGCUUUCAAAGCUGCCAUGGCCAAGAACCCCUUGAAGAUCACAGUCGAAGAAGAAAUUCACGUCAGACUCUACCCUGAGGAUGAUGAGCCUGUCAACAUCCUGAACGUCAAGAGGGGAAUCGUCUCUGCUCUCGUUGUGCCAGUAAUGGAAGAGGAGAGCAACAAAUACAUGUCCACCGUGCAUGGAAUUUGCCCCACUGACUUCACUGUCAAUGCUAGAGAGGACAUCGCCACUGAUGUGACUGUCAGCAGGGAUCUUUCCAAAUGUAGUUCAUUCUUUGCCCGCAGACAGGACACCAGCCCACUGGCCCUCAUCACCGGCAUGAACUACCCUCUGUCUAAGAUGAUUAGCAGCGCCCAGUCUUGCAACUACAAGUUUGACAACCAGAAGAAGCACAUGACCAGAGGAAUCUGCACAGAGCAACACACCUUCCUGCCCCUCUCCCACCAGAAUGAAUAUAGCAUUUUAACAAUGGUGAAGCAGACUGUAACUCUGAGGGAGACCGCCAAGAUCAAUGACAGAGUCUUUGACCGCAAUGAGGAUAACCGCAAGUUCUUGUCCAUGGACGUUGCUGACAACAAGUCCCCUGUGCAGACCAAGGAUGCUGCCAUUGCAACAAUGCAGCAGCUGAACACCCUGUCACAGACCACUCAAGGCGAGGAGCGUGCCAGUCUCUUCCACAAGCUGGUGUCUGAGCUGCGUGGCUUGAAGGUUGAUGUCCUGGGAUCUGCCACCGUUGAGAUGAUGGACAUGUCCCAGUCUCUGACAUGGCAAGCUCUGGCUCAGUGCGGCACCCCAGAGUGCACCAGUGCCAUGAUGAAGGUUCUCAGGACCUUUGACGAAGGUGCUGUAGAGGUCGAUGCUGCUGUCUACGCCCUGGGACUGCUGCCUAACCCCUCCCGCCUCAUGGUGAAAGACAUGCUGGCAAUGGCUCAGUACAGACAGAGCAAACCCAUCAUGUAUGCUCUGAGCAAUGCAGUCAGAAAACUAUACCAGGUUGAAGGCGUCACCCCGAGAUCACUGCUGUCUCUGAGUUUAUGGCUUCUCUCCUGGGCGCAGACUGCGCUGGGGAGAAAGAUCUGACCUUCCUGAUCUUGAGGGUUGUUGGUAACAUGGGAGAUGCAAUGGAGGCUGCUGACCCUGCUAUAAAGAACACCCUGCUGAAGUGCAUGAGACAGCCUGCAACCACACUGUCUGUGCAGCUGGCCGCUAUCCAGGCUUUCAGACGCAUGUCUGUGACUGAUGAGGUUCGCUCUAACCUCCAGAGGGUCAGCCAGUACCCCAAGGGUGCUGUGCAGAAGCGCUUGGCAGCUUACCUGAUCCUGAUGAGGGAUCCCAAGGACAGUGACAUUGAGAUUGUCAAGAAGCUGCUUAAUCAGGAGCAGAACACACAGAUCAAGUCCUUUGUGAGCUCCCACGUCUACAACAUAAUUUCCUCCACUGAUUCUGAGACCCAGAAGCUCGGUAAGAAGAUCAUGGAUGCCCUGCAGGACACUGACGUCACCACACACAACGACUUCACCACAAAGUCUCGCAACUACAAGCUUGGUGUGGCACAUGAGGACAUGCAGGCCAGCAUUCAGGGCAACAUUGUCUUUGAUCCUAGUAGCCAGUUGCCAAAGGAGGCCUUGCUGGAAACUACCCUGAAAGCCUUCGGUUUCAACAUGAACAUUUGGGAGGUCGGCAUGGAAGGAAGGGGCUUCGAGCCAACCAUUGAUGCUUUGUUUGGAAAGAACGGGUUCUUCCCUGACACUGUUGCAAAGACUCUGUACUGGGCUGUAGACAAGAUACCAGAACUGGAUAGACUGGUUGCUACAGAGUCAGAAGGAAGGAAGGUUCCCGAAAAUCUUGUCAGAGAAAUUGUUCGCAACUUCAACAAGCUGGUUAAAGAUCUGCAGAGUCAGGAGUCCCCAGAGGCCACAGCCUACCUGAGGAUCAUGGGCACUGAGCUUGGCUACAUCAAGGGCAAUGAACUGAAGUCUAUUGCUUAUAACGCAAUGAUGUAUGCAGACAUUUUCAUGAGGAUCAUUCCUACCAAGGUCAUGGCUGAACUGAUGUCCAGCACUAACAAUGAGAUCUUUGCCCAUUACAUCUUCAUGGACAACAAAUUCAUCAUCCCAACAGCAUCUGGCUUGCCUCUGACAUUUGCUCUGUCUGGCACCUUUACUUCUGGCGCAAAGGGAGGCCUUCGCCUGGCUCCAAACAUGAAGGAGCUGUUGUUCAUGCCCUCCGUUGGAGUUGAGUUUGUGACUCAGAUGGGAGUCAAUGUCCCUGAAUUCGUUGAGUCCACUGUUGAGAUGCACACCAACAUGUACCAUGAGAGCGUGCUCAAUGCCAAGAUCAGUAUGGAGGAGAGCCAGGUCAAGCUUUCCAUUCCCGCCCCUCAAGGAACCACAAAGCUCUUCAGCAUCAGCAAUAAAGUGCUGAUUGUUGGCGCUGGUCAGGCAGCAAUGAUCCCACACACAGAGGGCGAAUCAAGCUGCAGACCUCUCUUCUCUGGAGUCAGAUACUGCACCAAAACACUUCGUGCUAACGCUCGUGACAAUGCUGCUGUUCCCUACUUCCCCGUGAAGUUUUCUGUGGAUAUCAAGCCUUCUAAAGAGGUCUCUGAGUACACAGCCACCAUUGCCUAUAAACUUCUCAGUGAAGGAAAGGACGGUCGCCACAAGGUUGAUUCUUUGAAGUUUGCCCUGAAAGCUGAGGGUGCUCAGCCUACCGAGGCUACAGCCAUGAUGAAGUACAACAGGAACAGGAAUGUUUUCACCACCCAAAUCGAGAUACCUGACUUUGAUGUUGAGGCCGGAGUUAAGAUUGGCCUGACCGACAGCAGUGCCAGAGGCAAAACCAUUACCCUCGAGAUCACCAACAAGAACGUGCCCCAGCUCUCUCUGAUUGGCCGUGCCAAGCUUCAGGCCAUGACUGAUGGCAUGCUGCAGGUUCAGCUGUUAGUCCCCUCACUCAAGACUGAUGCCACCGUCACCGCUACAAUGAGCAAAGUUGAUGGACUCACCAUGGAGAUCAAAAGUGAUGUCAAGCUCCCAGAGACCUCCUCCAUUCAGGCAGUCACAUUCAAAUAUGGCGAAGAGCAGGCUGAGGUUCAGCUGAUGUCCAAUAUGAAUGCUGAUACUAAGAUCCUGGUGCCUUACACUGAAGCCCUGCAGGCCUGGCUCAGGCAGUUUGUGGAGGAUGCCAUGGACCAGCAAGUUGUCAAGACUGACAUGAAACUGCGUCAUAUCAUCAACAAGGCAGUUGAGGCCGGAGAUAUCUGGAUGGACAAGAUCUCAAGUGAUGUUCCCUAUGUUGAAACUCUGAGGAACAGAAUGACAAAUGUGGAAAUGCCUUCCAUGCCUUCCAUGCCUGAAAACCUUUUCAUGAACCUUGAAAGCACAUUCAGAUACCAGUUCAACCAGGACCGUCUGACCAUCAGUAUUCCUCUGCCACUUGGAGGCAAAUCAUCUGAGGAGCUGAGGAUACCUGCAGUGGUUUCCACCCCAAGCAUAUCCAUGCCUCAGCUGGACAUGGAGUUUCCCUCAAAGGAGAUCCAGAUCCCCACUUUUACCAUUCCUUCUGAAUAUGAUCUCACCCUGCCUCUGAUGGGAAUGGCGGAAGUGUCUGCCAAGGUCAACAGCAACUAUUAUAACUGGGAAGCAACGGCAUCUGCUGGUAACAAUACUGCCGAGUCUCCUAGCUACUUGGCCAAGUUCAACAUCCAGGCUGACAGUCCAAUCAAGUUCCUUUCCUUCUCAACUGAGGGAGCUACAAAAAUCAUCGACACAGCAGAAAAAACGAUGAAAUUCACCAUUGAUGGUUCCCUGAACCACAUGCUCUUGGACACAAGUUUUAAUGUGCUGGAAACCAUUGCUGUCACAGACAAUGUAAUGUCAACAGGAAAGUACAGCGUGCACGCUGUCGCCCCUCUGGGUCUCGAGACGUCUCUGACAGUUACCACCCAGGUCGUCCUAGACUCAAACAUACUCUCUGGAGAUAUCAACACAGACGGCAGUGUGUCUGUUGGACCAAUGACUGCUAGCACCACCUAUCUCCACACCUUCUCUGUUGAGCCAGCAAAGAAAGAAGCAAGAUUGGAGAGUACACUGAGAGUGAACUCUGAAAUCCUGAAGGUUGCAAACAAGAUCAAGGCAUCAUAUGCAAAUGAGGAACUUCUGAUUGAGUCAAACACCAACAUGAACAGUGACCCCAUCAAGCACACCACCAAAAUUAGCCUUAGCUACAAAGAUGUCAAGCUUACCGUCCAGUCCGACUCUGUGACCAAGGCAGAUGAUAGAAUGCUUCGUAGCCAGAUUGAGUUCUCCGCCUCUGAAGGACAGGCUAGCCUCAGGAUAGAGAAUCAAGCUGAUGACACAGAGAACCGUGCCUACUCUUUGCUCACUGGGUCCAUGAAUCCCUCCGGCUUGGAGAUCAAUGCUGAUGCCUCUUUGAACAUCUUUUCAAGCCUUGCCUCUCACAAGGCAACUUUGGCCCUGAACAUGAAUGGCCUGACCACCAGCUGUACAACAACUGCUCAGCAUAGCCCAGUGACCUUUGAGAAUGUUUUCCAUGGUGGAGUUGAUGCCUCUGGUGCCACCAUUUCUCUCACCACCAAGGGAGCCAUUAAGGAGAACAAAGCUGAGUUCGGUGUUGAGGGAAAGAUUGCAAGCACAGAAGUGUAUCUCAAUGGCGUCCUUAAGGGUAACCUCUUUGACAUUAACACCAGGAACAGAGUGAACCUCAGAGUGAAUGAAGAUGGCUUGAUCCUCUCCAACAACAUCGUUGGAUCUCUCAAUGAGAUGAGGACUGAAAACACCCACUCACUGUCUCUCACAAUGAGAUCUUUCACCCUCCACUCCAAGACUGACAACGUCCUCGACAAUAGGAACUCCUACAUGCAUGACAUCACAGUUAACAUGGAGCGUUUUAUUGCUUCAGUUAAUGUGAAAAAUGACCUGAAGAUCAUGGAGAUUAACUUUGUGAAUGAUGCCCAGUUCAAGGCAGAGCCCUACAACAUGGAGCUGACUGGAACAAUGAUGGGAGUCUUCUCAGAGGAAGAGCUCAAGCACACCUAUGAAGUCAAGUUUGUCGACAUGGUCCUCUCUGCAAAGUGCAAUACCAACGGCAAACUCCUGGGAACUCACACGACACAUACCACUGAUAUGGAGAUUGCUGGUCUGAACGUGAAGUUCAACAAUGUGGCUAACUUCAACUCACCAUCUCUUCGCCUGGACAGCACAGUCAAAACUGUUGCUGCCCCCUUCACUCUGAACAUUGAUGCCAUUUUCAACUCAGAUGGUGCAGUGUACCUGUAUGGACAGCAGAGCGGCGAACUAUACAGCAAAUUCCUCCUGAAAGCAGAACCCCUGUUGUUCACACAUUCAUUUGAGUCCAGAGCCUCAACCACCCAUGAACUGGAAGGCAGACCCACUAUCAAGACCAAUAUGGAGAACAAGUUCAACAGCAUGCUGAGCCUCCAAGAGCAAAGUGUUUCACUGAAGAUGACAUCCAAAGUAAAUGAGCACACUUUUGAUCAAGAAAUUAGUGCCUAUAACAAUGCAGAGAGAAUGGGUAUUGAGAUGAUGGGAGCUGCCUCAACCCCUCUCCUCAGUGAUGCCAGCAACGAUUAUGCCAUCUCUGGAUUUGUGAAAUAUGACAAGAACAGUGACAGCCACUUCAUCCAGAUCCCUUUCAUUGAGCAUCUGCCUGCAGUUAUUGAAAACGUGAAGGCCACAGUGAUGAGGCUGGUGGACAACAGCAUUGAGAUGCUGAAAGACAUCAACACCAAGUAUGAGAUCAGUGCCACGUUUCAGAACAAAGUGUCAGAACUGAAGGAGGUCAUUGACAAUUUUGACUUCAACCUCUUUGUCCAAGACUUGAGAAAGUUUAUCAACUCAAUGGAAAACUUUGUGACCAACCUGAUAGCCAAGUUCCCAACUGACAAAGUCAUGAAUGAGUUGAAAUCAAUGAAGGACACUAUCAUGGCUUGGAUCAAGAAGUAUAACAUUGCCAACAAGUUCAAUGUCAUUAUCGCCAAAGUAGAGGAGAUCCUCUCUAGCUAUGAGGUUGAGAACAUGAUUGGAGCCAUCAUGGAUGAGGUUGUUAAAAUAAUGAAGCAGUAUCAGGUGAGGGAAAAGAUUCAGUCUGCCUUUGCUGCUCUCAGGUCAAUUGACAUCCAGCCUCUGCUCAAAAGACUUGUGGUGCCUGUUCAAGAACUUGUGAAUGAACUGUAUUCCUUUGACUUCAAACAGCUGAUUGAAGACAUGAGCAACUACUUCAUGAGAAUGGUUCAGAAAAUCACAUCUUUUGAUUAUGACACAUUCACUAUGGAGUUGAAAGAAAAAGUAGCAGAAAUGAGCAAGAUUCCCUGUUUUGGAAAACUCUACGGAGAGUUCAGAGUUACCUCACCUCAUUACACACUCAGGACCACUGCUGACCUGGAAAACACCACAACUACAUCAGUCACACCUGAGUUCAAAAUUAACCUUAACUCACAGGCUACAUCAACUUUGAGAGUCCUUGACUUCAUUGUGGAUGCCAGUGCUAAUGUUGCUGUACCCUUGAUGAGUGGUCUGUCCAUCUCUGAGAACAUCAAAGUUGACCAGUCAAGUUUUAAACUUGACCACACAGGAAUAAUUACAUUCCAUGGCCUGUUAGCUGAAGCUUCUGCUGAAACUAGUGCAAAUACCAACACUGAGCUCUAUGUUGCAGAGCUUGUCAAUAGUGCAAUCUUUUCCACGGAAAAUGGAGUUUCUGCCAAUGUGGAGACUGGCUACAAACAUAACCUCAACAUGCCACCCCUCAAAAUCUUCUCUGAAACAUCAUUGAAUCAAAAGACCAUUUUCCUGCUUGAGGCUGGCACUGCCCGUCUGACCAUUAAUAAUCUGGCCAAUGGAAAAUAUGCAGUUCAGGACUUCUCAGAUGACGCAACCCACAAGAGUGACAUGGAGGUGGUCAUGGAUCUCCACACAACCAAAGUGACUUUCACUGGAGCCACAGGCAGCAGCAACUUCAAAAUGGAUCAAAAUGUGGUUGCCGAUGUAUGCAUUUUCCGCCAUGUAAUUAUUGAUGCCAAGGUUGAGACAGAAACACCUGUCAUGAAGAACAGCGUUGCAGAGGUCAAGUUCCAGGCUAAGGCUGAAGACUUGAAAAUUGAUUUCACUGCCUCUCACAAUGCAGAGCUAGUUGGACAGGUUGAGGGAACUCUCUCAAGCUCUGCACUUGCUUUGAUCACACCAAGUGAGCUUAUGUUUGACACCAAGAACAAGGGAAAUGCCAAAGUUGCCCUUCCAUUUGACCUGUCUGGAAAGAUGGAUCUCCAGAAUGACAUUUCUUUUACCCUGAACUCUGAAGCGCAGCAAGCUAGCUGGACAGGUCUGGCCAGAUUCAACCAGUACAAAUACUCCCAUUACUUUACCUUAGAUAAUGGUGACAGUGAAAUUAACAUAUUUUCCCAGAUUAAUGGAGAAGCAAAUCUGGAUGUACUGAAGGGGCCUAUCACCAUUCCUCAGAUAACUGUGCCAUUUGUUGGUUUGAAGACACCAAGAGUGGAAGACUUUUCACUGUGGGAAGACACUGGCCUGAGCUACUUCCUGAUCACAACUCAGCAGACAUUUGACAUGAACUCCAAGCUGAAGUACAUGAAGAACCCUGAGAUGAUCACCAUUGACAUCAAUGUGGAACCAAUCAUCAAUGCCAUUAAUACCAAUGUCAAGACUCUGCACAAAAAAGUGCUCAUCGGCAAGGAUAAGGCUGCUGCCAUGCUGGCUGCAUCUUAUGACAACGCAAAGGCAGAGUAUGAAAAAUAUAGCAUUGAGUUGCCCAAAACCAUCACAGUCCCUGCCUACAAAGUCCCAGUGAUGAAUGUUGAGGUGUCCACAUUCACCAUUCCCCUGCCUGACUUCAGUCUCAUCACAAUGCCUGCUCUGCAUGUUCCAUCUGCUCUCAGCAAGCUCACUUUCCCAAAAAUCACUCUGCCCAAAAUCCCAAGCAUCAAAAUCCCUGUAAUGGGUGAUCUGACCUAUGAUUUCUCCAUGAAAACAGCAAUGAUCACGCUCAAAACUGAUGCCAGCAUCCUUAACCAGGACAGCAUCAUCAUCAGACUGAAUUCUUCAUCAAUCUCUGAAUGUGAGUUUCUGAAUGGAAAGAUUGAAGGCAACACCAAUGUGAACACAGUCAACGGAUUUAAAAUGGCCUCUGUCCUGUCUGCAAAACAUUCAGUCCUAGAGGGAAACCAUGACAGCACCAUCUUCUUAAGUUAUGACAAUGUGGAUACCUCCAUCACCAACUCAGCAAAGGUCAAUCUGCCCUACCUGACUAUGGAAAUCAACCAGGAGAUUACUGGAAAUCCAGAUGAAGGCCUGGUUGUCUCUAUGUCCACUCCAUCUGCAGGACACAUCGCACUUCAGAUGCAGACUAAGCGCCCAGCACAAGUGAAAGCGAGAGUCUAUGGUCGCUACCCAUCUGAGCCAACAAGAGACAUUGAAAUCCUGGGUCUGAAGAUGUCUGUGAUGAACUCUGAGAAGCUGAACCUUCAGACGACCUGGAAUGUGGAGAUGCCAUAUGAGAUGAUGCUGCGACUGAAGAAACAGGUGCCCACAGUCAUGGAAAUUGUGUCUGAGCCUGCUACCAGGACAUAUAACACAAUCUACAGACAUGCUAGAAGCCUUGAGGGUUCUUUUGAACAGGUUAGAAACCAGGGUAAAGUGAUGUUCAGGAAGGCUAUUGAUAACCUUGCAGCAGUGAAAUCAUCCAAUGUUAUAACAACUGUCACAGAUAAGACCAUUUUGAUCCUCAAAGAGUACCAGAAGAAAGUUGAAAUUGUUUUUGAUGCUGUUGUUAAAUUCCUGAGAGAGACGAAGUUCCAGAUCCCUGGGUAUGAACAGAGGCUGUCUGGACUUCAGGUCUACCAGAAAUGCAGUGCUUUUGUUGCCGAUGUAUCUGAGGAGGCUGUCCAAAAGAUUCCACAGUACUUUACCUCUAUGUUUAAGGCAGUCCUUGAUUAUAUCAACACCAUUGAAUUUACCCUUCCUGGCUCUAACCAUGUUGUCCGUGGAAGAGAAAUUCUUGAUGACUUGUUUGUAGCUUUGAGGAAAAUUCAGAACCAAGUGAUUGUCACUGUGAAGAGUCUGGGGGAUAUUCAGCUGGAAGAUAUAAUUAACAAAUUAUCUGCAAUCAUGCAAUUUACCAUUGAACAAAGUGAGAAGUUUCUCCAAACCAUAAAAUCUCAGAACUCAGAAAGACUCUACACCUUUGUGACUGAUGUAUACAAUGAUGCCAUGAACUCCCGCGCCCUGUCGGUUGUUGUCGAGCAGGUUGAAGAGGCCCAAAGAAUUGUUAUUGAAUAUCUAAAAGCUGUGAGAGCUAAACUCCAGACUAUUUUGGCUGACAUGUCUAGUGCACAGCUUCAAGCUGACAUCCAGUCCUGGAUUGACGUAUUGGUAAAACGUGUGAAUGCUUUCCACAACAAUGUCAUCAAGACCCUGAAGGAAAAAAGUAAAAAUGUUGAACCAUUUGUGAAAGUAGGAGACAGACAGAUGGAGGUUAACAUUCCUUUACCAUUUGUUGCCAAAUCCAACUAACUGACCAUGGCUAACAGUGUUUGUAUUGACUGUGUCUAUUGUGUAACCGUUUAAGACAACAGUAAAUCUAUUCUACCAAAAAUACAAAGCUGCCUGCUAAUAAGUGUUGCCUGUACCCAUUUUUGUCUCUCUAUUCUGUUUUUCAAAAUUAAUUUUGUUUAUUUCACAGUUUUAGAACUACUGUUCUCCCUUUGUGUCUUGUACUAUUUAAAAAACAAUAUGUGGUCUUCAAUAAAGACAGUUUGUACUGCA